AACGACAGCAAGUGCAUCGUAAACCAACUUUCGAAUUUCAAAAAAGCGGUUGCUCAAACUGCCCUCAACGGAUAUUUUACCACCACUGAGUUUUCUUACGGCAACAGCUCCCCCACAUAAUAAAACACCUUCUCCUUUCAAUUCAGCAGAAAUUCCUUGAUCUAAAAGUGCUUUACGGAGAUAGGCAAGCCGAAUAUUACCUACCAAAAGUGGAGCAGCCCUGGGCGCUCUUGCCAAGUCUGAUCUUAAAGUCAAGGCGUUAAGAACAGGAAGUGUCUCUUUCUCUUCUUUUUUCUCUUCAUUCCUUUCUUUAUCACCGUCCUUUUUCUCAACUUCUUCCUUUUUAUCUUCUUCUUCAGAAGGUUUAGAGAUCUCAACCUUAGCCAGCAUAUGUGAAACUUCGCAAUUGCCAACUUUAGUCCAAAUUAAAUUUUUAAUAAGAUCAUCUGCUAAUUUAAGACUGAAUGCAUUAACAUCGAUACUAACAUUAAUGAUUUCACCAUAGUUGGGUAUGUAAACGUCCUUGGUAAAAGCACUGAGAGAGGCGCACGUUUUCUUCAUAUCUUCUUUCUCUUCAGUUGAAGCAUGAAUAAGGACAAGUCUUCUAGGAUUUACCUGUGGUAUAAUAGUUUUCAAAGAACGUCCAUCAUGCAGACCCUCAAUAUCUAUGAACUGAACUUGACAUGAAACUCGGAUAGUUUUUUCAUCUGUUAUAAUUUUAGAAGGAACUUCAUCCUCAUCCUCUUCUUCCUUUUUUUGUUGUAGACCAUCGUUUAUUUCGGACCAUUUUCUUUUUCCGUUAGAAUUAGAUAAAGCAUUAUCAUCUGAAUCAUUUUCCAAUUCCAAUGUGUUAGCAGGUUCGUUAAUCAUAGAAAAGUCUUGAUGUUUGAUAAUUUCUCCAUAUUCAUCUAUCCUCCUUCUCUUCUCAAUGUAUGGAAACAUUUUAUACUUGGUAUGUAAAGCUUGGACAGCAGGAUCUCUCAAGUUCAAAUCAAAAGACUUUCCCAUUAGGAAAGCAGAAGAUCCAAGAGCCACAUGGGGAACUUCUGUAUUCAAAUCUAAGUCGUCAUCUUCUGAAGAAGAUGAUGAUGAAAGGUCUUCAUCUAAUAUGGUUCUGUUACGAAAUUCCAAAGCGGUAUCUUCCGCAUCUUUAUUUCUCUUGCUGAACUCAAGUUCUUGAUACGAUCGCAAUUCUUCCCCCUCCAAAGGUUCUUUCGUUUUUAUCUUGACAGCUUGUUCAGCAUACAAACCGACUGGAUGAGGAAUAUCACGUUUCUUUUUACUAGCACGUUCCCAAUACCUGAUGAAUUGGUUUGCAAGUGAGUUUUGAGGGCAUCUGGAUCUUUGUGUAAACAGUAUUAAGUCAUUUGAAUUUUCAGACAUCAAAUCUAACAAAAUUCGCUGAGAGAAUCCGCAUUCCAAAGUCAACGCGGUAGCGAGGAUCACUUUGGGUCCGGGUCCUAUGUGAGAAAUCUGAGAAAAAUCUGUAAUCGUAUUUAUAUUUCGAAACUCUAAUAAGUUUUCGUUGAUCCCAAAAUCACGAACUAUAUUAUCACCCAUCCAUUCAAUCAUACUUUUAGCAUAGUCAAUAGUUUUUGUUGAUGUAGGGGAAAGGAAUAAUAUAGGAAAUGGUAGAGGCGGUUGACUAGCAGACCAAUGGUUAUCUAGAAUACAACACAAUUCUAAUACCCUAGAAGCGGCAUCUACAGGUAAUAAAACAGUACCGCCCUUCAACAAAGAAGACAUAACAGACUCUAUGAAAGCUUCGUCACGCUUUUUACGGGAAGGGAUAGAUACGAGUGAAUUGUUAGCAUCAGUAAUUAAAGUAUUUGGUCGAUUGAGAGCUUCUAAUAUAUGGCCAUUCGAAUAUAAGGCAGCGCCGUUUAGAUGUUUAUCUUUAGAAUGGUUCCAGUCAACAGCGUACAGAACGCUUUCUGAUUCUUUUAUAAGACUCCACAAAGUUCCUCCCAAGGUAUGUCCAGCAUUAUAAGCAGUAAUGGUUAGCCCACUACAUUUUCCUAAAUCAUGAAUUAGUAUAAUCAAAAGUUCAAAAGACUUUUUUCACAAGAACAAUUGCUUACCUAAAAGUAAUGUGGGUUGUUGAUAUCUAAGAGGAAUGAUGCUGUCAAAAACAGCAUCUACAUCAGCUUUGCUCAUGUCUGAAAUAUAGUUGGAUUUUAUUGCAUCCAACAUAGUCAUCCGACCCAUAUUAAUUGUUGGUAAAGUAGCAUAUAUAUACGCAUUUUUCCAGUCAUAUUUAUAAUAAGCAUAAACCAAUCCUCCUAUAUGUGCUAAAUCCGAAUGAGAUAAAAGGAUUAAAUCUGGUUGUUCGGGUACUUCCGGAUGUUUUAAUGAAUCAUCGCUGCCAGGGUCUAUAUAGAUAUGAAUUCCAUCUAACUCAAUAUGAGAUGUUCCACAAUAGGAGUCUGUCUCUAAACAUUGAUAGUUGAGCAUGGUUAUUGCCCAAAGACAGGACUUUACAACUCGAUGGUAGUAAACAGUGGGGGUUGGAUGGCUAUCAGAAAGAAUAUAUCCAAGCGAU